rnacentral:rRNA from 1 species
UACAGAGGGUGCUAGCGUUGUUCGGAAUCAUUGGGCGUAAAGGGCGUGUAGGCGGUUUGUUAAGUCAUGUGUGAAAUCCCUCGGCUCAACCGGGGAACGACGCAUGAAACUGGCAAGCUAGAGUACCAAAGAGGGGGGUGGAAUUCCCGGUGUAGUGGUGAAAUGCGUAGAGAUCGGGAGGAAUACCUGUGGCGAAGGCGGCCUACUGGGCCGGACCUGACGCUGAGACGCGAAGGCGUGGGGAGCGAACGGG